GUGCCAGCAGCCGCGGUAAUACGUAGGUGGCAAGCGUUGUCCGGAUUUAUUGGGCGUAAAGCGAGCGCAGGCGGUUUCUUAAGUCUGAUGUGAAAGCCUUCGGCUCAACCGAAGAAGUGCAUCGGAAACUGGGAAACUUGAGUGCAGAAGAGGACAGUGGAACUCCAUGUGUAGCGGUGAAAUGCGUAGAUAUAUGGAAGAACACCAGUGGCGAAGGCGGCUGUCUGGUCUGUAACUGACGCUGAGGCUCGAAAGCAUGGGUAGCAAACAGGAUUAGAUACCCUGGUAGUCCAUGCCGUAAACGAUGAGUGCUAGGUGUUGGAGGGUUUCCGCCCUUCAGUGCCGCAGCUAACGCAUUAAGCACUCCGCCUGGGGAGUACGACCGCAAGGUUGAAACUCAAAGGAAUUGACGGGGGCCCGCACAAGCGGUGGAGCAUGUGGUUUAAUUCGAAGCAACGCGAAGAACCUUACCAGGUCUUGACAUCCUUUGACCACUCUAGAGAUAGAGCUUUCCCUUCGGGGGACAAAGUGACAGGUGGUGCAUGGUUGUCGUCAGCUCGUGUCGUGAGAUGUUGGGUUAAGUCCCGCAACGAGCGCAACCCUUAUUACUAGUUGCCAGCAUUUAGUUGGGCACUCUAGUGAGACUGCCGGUGACAAACCGGAGGAAGGUGGGGACGACGUCAAAUCAUCAUGCCCCUUAUGACCUGGGCUACACACGUGCUACAAUGGAUGGUACAACGAGUCGCGAGACCGCGAGGUUUAGCUAAUCUCUUAAAACCAUUCUCAGUUCGGAUUGUAGGUUGCAACUCGCCUACAUGAAGCCGGAAUCGCUAGUAAUCGCGGAUCAGCAUGCCGCGGUGAAUACGUUCCCGGGCCUUGUACACACCGCCCGU
rnacentral:rRNA from 1 species